rnacentral:rRNA from 1 species
UACGUAGGGUGCGAGCGUUGUCCGUAAUUAUUGGGCGUAAAGGGCUCGUAGGCGGUUUGUCGCGUCGGGAGUGAAAAUCCAGGGCUUAACUCUGGACUGGCUUCCGAUACGGGCAGACUAGAGGUAUGCAGGGGAGAACGGAAUUCCUGGUGUAGCGGUGAAAUGCGCAGAUAUCAGGAGGAACACCGGUGGCGAAGGCGGUUCUCUGGGCAUUACCUGACGCUGAGGAGCGAAAGUGUGGGGAGCGAACAGG